CUAAGAAUAUUCCGCAAUGGGCGAAAGCCUGACGGAGCGACGCCGCGUGGAGGAUGAAGGCCUUCGGGUUGUAAACUCCUUUUCCUGGGGAAGAAUAAGGCCGGUAGUAACUGACCGGUCGAUGACGGUACCCAGGGAAUAAGCCCCGGCUAAUUACGUGCCAGCAGCCGCGGUAAUACGUAUGGGGCGAGCGUUGUUCGAAUUUACUGGGCGUAAAGGGCUUGUAGGUGGUGAGAUAAGUCGGAUGUGAAAUCCCCGGGCUUAACCCGGGAACUGCAUUCGAAACUAUCUUGCUAGAGUACCGGAGAGGGAAACGGAAUUCCUGGUGUAGGGGUGAAAUCUGUAGAUAUCAGGAAGAACACCGGUGGCGAAGGCGGUUUCCUGGCCGGAUACUGACACUGAGGAGCGAAAGCUAGGGGAGCAAACAGG
rnacentral:rRNA from 1 species